rnacentral:rRNA from 1 species
AAAGGCCUUUUCGGAGGUACUCGAGUGGCGAACGGGUGAGUAACACGUGGGUGAUCUGUCCUGCACUCUGGGAUAAGCCUGGGAAACUGGGUCUAAUACCGGAUAGGACCGCACUUUUAUGUGUGUGGUGGAAAGUUUUUUCGGUGUAGGAUGAGCCCCGCGGCCUAUCAGCUUGUUGGUGGGGUAAUGGCCUACCAAGGCGGCGACGGGUAGCCGGACUGAGAGGUUGGUCGGCCACAUUGGGACUGAGAUACGGCCCAGACUCCUACGGGAGGCAGCAGUGGGGAAUAUUGCACAAUGGGCGCAAGCCUGAUGCAGCGACGCCGCGUGGGGGAUGACGGCCUUCGGGUUGUAAACUCCUUUCGCCAGGGACGAAGCGUUUUGUGACGGUACCUGGAGAAGAAGCACCGGCUAACUACGUGCCAGCAGCCGCGGUAAUACGUAGGGUGCAAGCGUUGUCCGGAAUUACUGGGCGUAAAGAGCUCGUAGGUGGUUUGUCACGUCGUCUGUGAAAUUCCACAGCUUAACUGUGGGCGUGCAGGCGAUACGGGCUGACUUGAGUACUGUAGGGGUAACUGGAAUUCCUGGUGUAGCGGUGAAAUGCGCAGAUAUCAGGAGGAACACCGAUGGCGAAGGCAGGUUACUGGGCAGUUACUGACGCUGAGGAGCGAAAGCAUGGGUAGCAAACAGGAUUAGGUACCCUGGUAGUCCAUGCCGUAAACGGUGGGCGCUAGGUGUAGGGGCCUUUUGGGGUUUCUGUGCCG